rnacentral:lncRNA from 1 species
GCCUACCACAAGAUUUAAUAAAAUGGGAGCGGGUGGUACGCCUACAAGAAGAUGCAUGAAAUUGGAGUGGGUGGUACACCUACCACGAGAUAAAUAAAAUAGGAGCGGAUGACACGCCUGUCAUAUGAUAUGAGAAAUAGGAUCGGGCUGCACGCCUGCAACAAGAUGUGAACUGAAAGUGAAAUCUGCCUUUAUUUCCCUUAUCCUUGUUAGUAGUUGGAUUUUAGUUCUCUAUAAUUCUCUGGAUACUCUGUUUUUACCUGUUAUUCCCCGAAACAUGUUUCCCUUUCCCACCUUUAUUUGUUUAUUCUGCUUUACUUUUCGCUAUAAAUUAUAUAACUGCACAUGUUUACUUGGUAGUCUGGUCCUAGCCUCGUUAUCACUUCGCCGAGGUUAGGC